CCUAGGGAGUACAACAUACAAUGCAAGUCGAACGAUGAACCACUUCGGUGGGGAUUAGUGGCGAACGGGUGAGUAACACGUGGGCAAUCUGCCCUGCACUCUGGGACAAGCCCUGGAAACGGGGUCUAAUACCGGAUACAACCACUGACCGCAUGGUCGGGGGGGGAAAAGCUCCGGCGGGGCAGGAUGACCCCCCGGCCUAUCACCUGGUUGGGGAGGUAAGGGUUCCCCAAGGCAACAACGGGAACCCGGCCUGAAAGGGCAACCGGCCCCCCGGGAACUGAAACCCGGCCCAAACUCCUACGGAAGGCACCAUGGGGAAAUAUUGCCCAAGGGGCAAAACCCUGAUGCACCGCCCCCCCGGGAGGAAUGACGGCCUUCGGGUUGUAAACCUCUUUCACCAGGAAAAAACCAAAAGGGACGGUCCCUGCAAAAAAACCCCCGGUUAACUCCUUGCCACCACCCCCGGUAAUCCUUAGGGCGCAGGCGUUGCCCGAAAUUUUGGGGCGUAAAAAGUUCGAAGGCGGUUGGCCCCGCCAGUGGUGAAACCCCGGGGUUUACCCCCGGGCCUGCAUCCAAUCCGGGCAGGUUAAAGUUCGGAAGGGAAAAUCGAAAUUCCGGGGGUACCGGGGAAAUGCCCAAAUUUCAGGAGAACCACCGGGGGCAAAGGCGAAUCUCUGGGCCUAUCCUGACCCUAAGAACCGAAACCGUGGGAAGCAAACAGAAUUAAAUACCCGGGUAGCCCACCCCGUAAACGGGGGGCACUAGGGGUGGCCAACUUUCCACGUCUCCCGUGCCGCACCUAACGCAUUAAGUGCCCCGCCUGGGAAGUACGGCCGCAAGGCUAAAACUCAAAGGAAUUGACGGGGGCCCGCACAAGCGGCGGAAGCAUGUGGCUUAAUUCGACGCAACGCGAAGAACCUUACCAAGGCUUGACAUACACCGGAAAACGUCUGGAAAACGGGCCCCCCCUUGUGGUCGGUGUACAGGUGGUGCAUGGCUGUCGUCAGCUCGUGUCGUGAGAUGUUGGGUUAAGUCCCGCAACGAGCGCAACCCUUGUCCCGUGUUGCCAGCAGGCCCUUGUGGUGCUGGGGACUCCCGGGAAACCGCCGGGGUCAACUCGGAGGAAGGUGGGGACGACGUCAAGUCAUCAUGCCCCUUAUGUCUUGGGCUGCACACGUGCUACAUGGGCCGGUAAAUGAGCUGCGAUACGGAGGGGGACGAAUCCAAAAGCGUCCAAUUUCCGAUGGGUCUGCACUCACCCCUGAAUCGAGUCCUAAAUCAAAACCCAUGCUGGGGAAAAAUUUCGGGCUUGUAACCCCCGUCCCUCAAGAUCGAAACCGACCGGGUCACCCUUGGAGAGUCAUGCUGAAGGGAGAG
rnacentral:rRNA from 1 species